AGUUUCAUAUUCAAAAUAAAUGAUAUAAAAUUGCAAAUUUUAAGUUAUAAUUAAAUAUUAUUGAAACUU
rnacentral:tRNA from 1 species